CAAACUCACUUACCCAAAUAGCAACUCCCCCAGCAAAAGAAAAUACCAACUUGCCAACCAAAAUGGACACCCAAAACCCCACCACAUCCUACCUCCUCUUCCUCUUUCUCUUCCUCCUACCCCUCACCACCGCAGAAACAUGCUCAACCACCACCUGCCGCCGCGGCGACCCCUUGGUCCGUUUCCCUUUCCGGUUACAAAACCUCCAGCCAAACUCAUGCGGCUAUCCCCAGCCGGGCUUCGCCUUAUCCUGCGACACCACAAACCAAACACUAAUCACCCUCCCAGACUCGGGACAAUUCUCCGUCCAAGGAAUAGACUACGGCACGCAAGAAAUCUGGAUCAACGAUCCGAACAACUGCCUCCCAGGCCGGCUUCUCUCCUUAAACCUCACCAGUUCUUCGUUCACCGCUGUUUACUACCAGGGCUUCAAGAUGUUUAAUUGCUCUAUGGACUAUAUCAAGUAUAGAUUGAAUCCGAUAGCGUGUUUGAGCGGGGAUUCCUACUCGGUUUUUGCUACUUCUUCGGAUAAGGUGAUUAGGAGAUUGGCGUCGGCGUCAACGUGUGUUGAGAUUGGGACGGUUGCUGUGCCGGUGGAGUGGCCGUUUUACGAGGCGGUCUUGUCGUCGGACCUUUCGGGGGAUUUGCGGCUGACUUGGGCCGAGCCACGGUGCGGGAGGUGUGAGUCGAGGGGCGGGUGGUGUGGGUUGAAGAGCAAUUCUGGCGUUGAUGUUGUCUGCACAAAUGCUCCUAAACGUGGACUCCCAAGGAGCGCUCGCUACGCCAUAACCGUGGGAGCCGGUGUGCCCAUGCUAUUGUUCUGUAUCGGGAUUUUGUGUUUCAUUUUUGGCAGGUUGAAGUCCUUUGGUAGGAGACGCGAUCCCAUAUCUGAGCUCAUGGCCUCUACAGUUGCUCCACAGCCCACCCUCGUUACAGGCCUCGACGGGCCUACAAUAAACUCGUUCCCUCAAGUAGUUCUCGGUGAGAGCCGGCGUCUGCCUAAGCCCGAUGACAGUACCUGCCCAAUAUGCUUGUCCGAGUACAGGCCCAGGGAAACGCUGAGGAGCAUACCCGAAUGCAGGCAUUGCUUCCAUGCUGAUUGCAUCGACGAAUGGCUUCGCUUGAAUGCUACUUGUCCGGUUUGUAGAAACUCUCCUGGCCGAUUGGCAACUGAAUAAACUAAAGUUGUACUCGGAAUCUGCAAAUUGAAAGGGGGUGGUGGACAGAUUGAGGUUUUAAAGCUGUUGCGGGAGGCAGCUGUUCGGGUCUUUGAUGUGAAUCGAUUGGGAUUUGUAAUCGAUAUUGGUGACUAGAACUUGGGCGGAAUUGGGGAGGUUGAGGAGAGUGGCGGAGGUGGUUGGAGAGCAAGAGAGGUCGAACCCGGGAUAGCCGCAGUGAGGUGGUUGGCUGUCCUUGAGGCGGAAAGGGAAGCGGAUCGUUGGACCGUGCUUGGAGCAUCAUGUUGUUGGAGUGCAAUCGCCUUGGGCUGUGGAAAGGCGUAGGAUAAAGAAGAAAAUACAGUAGUAGUAUAUGGACAUGUUCCUACUCCUAUAUAAAAUCUCUCUCUCUCUCUCUCUCUCUCUAAAUCCAAGAGUAAAGACUUCCAG